UACGUAGGUGGCGAGCGUUGUCCGGAAUUACUGGGUGUAAAGCGCGUGUAGGCGGGAGGCCAAGUCUGCUGUGAAAUCGCCCGGCUCAACUGGGCGGGGUCGGUGGAAACUGGUCACCUGGAGGACGGUAGAGGCGAGUGGAAUUCCCGGUGUAGUGGUGAAAUGCGUAGAUAUCAGGAGGAACACCGGUGGCGAAAGCGGCUCACUGGCCGGAAUCUGACACUGAGGUGCGAAAGCUAGGGUAGCAAACGGG
rnacentral:rRNA from 1 species